UGUAGCUUUCCGUAAAAAAAAAAGCUUGUAAGACUUGUUCAAACGUGUCGCUUUGUGGAGGAACCAUUGGCCUUUUUGGACUAACAGCAAACCAGGACUCUACGGUCUCCAACUUUGGCCUCGGACAUGUGCAACUUUUCGUGAAAGGAAAUGCUGGAGUUAGCAUUUUGCUCAGCUAGCUACCUAGUUCAGGCGCCCCUUGGCCUGAGCUCGGGCACCUCGGGCGGUUUGAGGAUUUGCUGGAGGCGAGAGCUGCGCGGGGAAAGGCCCGGGGCAGGUCUGAGACAUCAAACGCCGGUGGAGAGAGAGAGAGGGAGAGGCCGUCAUCAAUCAUCUCUCCUCCAGGACGCGCUGCUGGAACGAGCACCAUCAGAUCUGGCUUCUCCUGACUACUGAUUAUUAUUUCAUAAAGCAUCCAUUAAUGAGUAACUCGCUAAUCCUUUUUUUCCUCCCCAUCUUUUACAGUCUUCUCACAUGAAAAUCUUUGGCGAAUUCCUAUUCGAGGCCAGUAGUGUCAAAUGCAAAUUUAUUUAGAAUUUAAACAACAGAUUAAAAGGAUUUAAAACAUUUAAAAGUUAAACCUGAGAGCAGGGCAAAUUAGAGUGUGGUUGUGGGUGAGGCUGCUGAAAACCACUGCGUCCUGACGCCCUGCCAUGGCCUCUUGACAGUCCACCCCCGUGUAGAUGGGUAGCCACAAAUGAGCUCAUUUAAAACGAGACUGUUGCCGCGGUGAGGCUAAAAGUCAGACAGCCAGCUCUGACAGGUGUCAAGGUGCCCAAUAGCAUCCUCUGCAAGGACACUGUACUGCACUCCUUUUACCUUCAAGUGCCAUAAAGUACACAGAGAGGUGGAUUAAUUGGUGCAGGAAAUGGAGUAGUUAGCCAUUAUGGGUUCUUUUGUCAGUGAGACGCGUAAUAUAUUUGAAUAACAUUUGCUGUCAGAGCAGGUGGCAGUCGCAUUAUUAUUUUUAUGAGGUGAAAUUUCACCUUGUGACUCCGACAAGACUCGGUAAUGGGUUUGAUUGUACCUUGAGCUUCGUAAUGUCCUGCUCGGAGAACAGUCAGCAUUAAUUAAACGUCUUUAAUUACUU